AACAUCUUCAAAUAGUGAGUGAUUCAUCUUAUCAUAUCACUACGGACUCCUCUUAAAGUUACUGCCUUGUAGAUACCCUUGCCUGUUUGGUUGCAUUCCAGAAGAUAUAGUUGUAUGCUGAACAGUGGGCACAGCUUGUGGUUUAAAAAUAACACAACAUCCAGAAGCCAAACUGUUUUCAUUGGAUGUGGUAAGUGUUAA
rnacentral:lncRNA from 1 species